CACCCAGCACAUCCCAGCACUGCAGACCCUUGAGGGGCUCAUGGGGUCUGUGGUCUGCCCAGCUUCUGGACACUGCCACUCCAAGCUGAGGAGCACAAGCUGAAGCUCCACAGCAUCCUCUUUGUUCUUCCUAUAACACUGCACCCUGCCUCAAGGAUGGGAGUUUUAUGAGCUCUUGGCUCCUCUCUCAAUUUCUUCCAAAUUGUAUUAAAUCUGUCUGCAAGAUUUAGAGUUUGUAGUGUGUGGUAGGAAUAAUUCCUUAGUUUCAAUCUAGUUGGAAGUACUUUCUCAAAGUGUUGUGCUUGUUUUAUUCAUUUCCAUGGCUUUCAGAAGGGGAUGUUGUUGUAAAUUGUCCUUCAGAUGGCAUUCUUCCCCAUGGUGGGGGGCAGUAUAUCUUUCCUGCAGGCAUUUGAUAUGGAGAAAGGAUACCGUCCCUGAUAUUGUUCUCAGUGCCUUUCCCACCCUUCUCUGGUCUCCACAGUAACAGAGGGACAAAUAUCUGGAAGCUACAAUCCUCAGGAUUCCAUUCAGAUUCCACAAAUGAGGGCAUUCUGGCCCAAGGUGGCAGGCCGAACUCAAUGAGAAACCACUAUGCUCUGGAGGCAGCUGCAGGUGGAUAAGUGAGGAUCAGUCAUGUUAGACAUGGGAUUUCUGCCUGUGACUUUGGGGUGUCCUCCUGAAAAAUACCCACUUUGUGAUGCACAUGGCUGGGAUCAUUGGCAGUGUCAUGUCCUGGAUUUUCUGAAAGUAACCAACCUGACUUUUGCUUCCCUAGCCUUCCAACGUUUGUGGAAUCUUCCAGUCCCCUAUAUUAAUCUUCUUUCUUCUCAGAAAUACCUAGAUUUGCUUUUGAUUUUGUGAUAUAACCCUGACUGAUACAGAAAGAAGCUCAUGGACUUCUGGGGGAAAAGGGGAUCAGAAGGUCAAAGUGAUGUCUGUCUACAGCCUGGCCCCAGAAAUCCCUAACUGACACUGAUAGAGAAAAACUACUGAUCUUCAGGCAGAACCUGAAGGCCCAGCUUUUUUCACUCAAGGUUUCUGGGUUAUUGGAACAGUUACUUUGCAUAAGCAGGUGACCAGAUAAUGGGGGAGGGGGCAUUUCUCCACAUCCCAUGGAACCCCUGGAUUCAGCUCACUGAGUGUCUUAGAAACACAGCAAAGAUAUGAGUGGCCUUUGGAGAUGGGGGUACUGGUACCCAGAGAAAGCCCCAGCAGUGCCCUGGGAGUCUAAUACAGAAGAUCCAGCCAUGUCCAGUAAGCAUGAGCCAGAGAAGGGGAUGAGAAUAAAACUGAUGUUGGACACCAACUGACAAAGCACUCUGCAAGGUUUAUUCCUAAGCAUUUGUGAGAAAUACUUGGAUACACAACAAAAUAACUUGCCUUCCUCUGUCGCACAGACGAGUGCAGUGGCCUGAUCUCAGCUCACUGCAGCCUCUGCCUCCUGGAUUCAAGCGAUUCUCCUCCCUCAUUCUCCCAAGUAGCUGGGAUUACAGGAGAUGAAAGAUGCCCUCCCUAUACCAGAAGGAAAGUAUCAUUCUCAUCAAGGACAGAAAAUUAAGGCCAAGGAAAAUCUGUACAAAUAAACCUUGUUACACCAACCCUUACCUCUCUAGUCACUUCUCCACCUAAUUAAUUACUCUAACCCAAGCCCCUUUGCUGUCACAUUUUCACAACUUACUUCACUUUGUCAGAUUCUUCACAUAAGCAUUCCAUUCUUUGUCUUCGGGUCUUCAUUUCCUACUCCUGUGCCACGUAAAACUUCCAUUCAAUAAAUUUAUAUGCUUUUCUCCUGUUGACCUCUCAUGUCAAUUUAAUUCUCAAACCCAACCAAAAUAUCCUGAGGGUAGAAGUAAAGUUUUGCUUCCU
rnacentral:lncRNA from 1 species